UGGAGUUCAGACCCUCAUUCCCGCCCACAGUUCAUAACUGUUCUGGACCAGCUGACGGCCAUCGAGGAGUCUGGCUUUUUUGACAUGCCGGAAAAGUCCUUCCACUCGCUGCAGGAUGAUUGGAAACUGGAGAUACAGGAAAUGUUUGAUCAGCUGAGGACCAAAGAGAAGGAGCUGCGAUCAUGGGAGGAAGAGCUGAACCGAGCAGCACUGCAGCA